UGCAUCUUCACGCAAUUUCAUCUUCCCUCUUCCCGUCGAGUGCAUCUUCACGCAAUUUCAUCUUCCCUCUUCCGGUCAGCCAGCUAAAGAAGUGGAAGUUAAAUCUUCGGAAUGGCUUCGAGAGUUUCGAAUCGAGUUUGUUAUACAAAGACCGCUGAAAAGUGUACUCCAUCGCUUUCAAUUCAAAUUUCUUUCUGCAACUUAUAAUGGCAGGCCGCUGCUCACUUUUCUACGCAUACUCCAUCUCAUUAGCUUUGAAUCAGUUUGUUCAGUGCGGAUAGUAGGCGUUACGGUUUGGGUAAUCAGUUAGGUCCCUCGUGCAUUUUUGUUUCGAUUUUGGCCUCUUGACAAUAAACGGUAUCUGAUGGAUAUUGAAUUGAUCAAAUGGGGUGACACCACUUACCCACCAUCAUGAUGAUGUUUGUCAUUAUCCUGAUGGUCUAACCGGAGUGAUCAUCAUCUUUCAAGGAUGCAAUCAAUCUGUAUAUUGCCAAAGAAGCAACUAAAUUGAGGCGUGGGUGAAAUUCCAGCAAGCAGAGAAUCAUCAAAUGCAAAAACAUAAUGUUGAUUGAAGUUCAGACAACUUUAGUUCCAUAGCAUUAUAGAUAAUUGAGGCUUGAGAGCAAAAGAUCUGUUCUCAAAGUGGAGGAACUGUAAUGGACACAGAAACUAUGAAAGCAGUGGAAGGAUAAACAAGGUCAGGUUAGGCCAUUGGGGUAUUUUAUGAUUUGUGAAACUGUUUUCUGAUUCUGUCAUUUAUCGAAUGGAUUAACCAAUUACAUGAGAGAAACCCUUUCAGAACUACAAACAAUGGGGCCAAACGAUCCAACCACUGGAAUUUGAUAGAAUAUUUUGGCAAUUGGAUCCCCUUGGCUUGGGCAUGGGCCCCAAUUACAUGCUGCAUGUCUCCAAAUAGAGGAUGAAGGCCAACAAAUAGAUGGUCCCUCCCAGAUGAUAGCAUCAGCG